rnacentral:rRNA from 1 species
AACGAACGCUGGCGGCGUGCCUAACACAUGCAAGUCGAGCGCGAAAAGGGCAACCUGAGUAGAGCGGCGCACGGGUGCGUAACACGUGGGUAAUCUGCCUUUGGGUCGGGGAUAACCAUUCGAAAGUCUGGCUAAUACCCGGUAAGCUUACGGGGACUUCGGUCUCUGUGGGAAAAGUAGGCCACUGUUUACAAGCUUACACCUGAAGAUGAGCCCGCGGCCCAUCAGCUAGUUGGCGGGGUAACGGCCCACCAAGGCUACGACGGGUAGCUGGUCUGAGAGGACGAUCAGCCACACUGGAACUGAGACACGGUCCAGACUCCUACGGGAGGCAGCAGUGGGGAAUUUUCCACAAUGGGCGAAAGCCUGAUGGAGCAACGCCGCGUGUGUGAUGAAGGUCUUCGGAUUGUAAAGCACUUUCGACUGGGACGAAAAUACCGGCGCCAACAUCGCCGGGACUGACGGUACCAGGAGAAGAAGCACCGGCUAACUCUGUG